AAAGGGGAUUUAGGGUUCCUACUUUUGACCAUUCGCCUCUCACUCUGAUGAACUCGACGACGCGGCGGCUUUCUUUGUCCGGUCAACCCUCGGAGCGCCACCGUAAGCCCGUUCCCCUCCGACGACUCAUUCUCUCGCUUCUGAACUCGUUCGCUCUCAUCUCAUCUCUCGUUCCAAACCUCUCCAUCUCUCUCGCGGAUUCUCUCAUCCCCAAUUCAUUCUCGAUCGAAUGCGUUUUCCGAUUCGAUUUGACGGAGCUUGUCCGGCGUAACUUCAGUUGCCACGAAUAACAAACCAGAGAUCCUUCAAAUAAAGUUCUGAUGCGUGCAGUGAGGAAGAUUUUAAUGAAGGUGAUGAACACUGAGAUUGUCACGUAAAGGAGCGGAUUCGGUGCAGGUCGAAGAAGAUCGUCGUGCGAAGCUUGUCUGAAGAAGAACGCGGAAGAUUGUAGCAGGAAGAUGAAGAAGAAGCUUCUGAUGGCUGAAUGAAAUUCUGUUGAAUCAAUAGAGGUGUGUUGAAGAUUGAGAGUAUGCGUGAGUUUCUGAAUAUUGGUGAUGGACCGUGAAUCUCUCUGUGACAGGUUCUAAUUUUCUCUUUUCUCUUUUUUGUUAUAUUGAGGAAUGAAGUAUAAUGAAGAUGAUGAGUUAAUGGAAGAACUGUGAUUGAAGCUGAUGUAGAGAUUGUAUGUUGAUGAAUGUGGAGGUUACAGAGAGUUGAUGGAGAUUGAAUGUGAAGAAGGUUGAAUGAAUCAGAGAAAAAUGGUUGAGAAGGUGAAGAAGAAUGGAAGAUUCAAGGUGAGAAAAGUGAAGAUGAAGAAAUGGUGAAGAAAGAAAAUGGUGGCUAGGUGAAUGAAAAAUGGUGGGGGAGUGUGUGAACAAUGGUUGAAGAAUCUGAAGCUGAUAAAGUGGUGGGAACCUUGAAUCAUGGAGGGAGGUUCUCUUAUAUAGAAGCUGAUGAAGGUGAAGUUAGUUAGAGGAGAAGAAAUGAUUCAGUUGAGGUAUUCAAAUGGUGGGUUUAAUAAGAACCACAUUGAGAAUGAAGGAAAGUUGAAUGAAUGGGUCACUAUGUGUAAAACCAGUUUUCUGUUCCUUGGAAUUAGACACAGUUGAGUUAACAACCACUCCACAUGCCAGAACAUUGUCAGAGAAGACAGCAUAAUGAUAAAGUUCCGGAUCAUGACUCUUAUUUUCAUUUGGCAGCUUUCUAUCCUCAGGUCUCAUGGAAAAGUAAUCGACAGUUGGUUGCGUAGAGAGACCGUGAAGACCUUAGGGCAUUCUAAUUGACUUUGUAUAGGUUUUUUUUGUAUGAAUUUCUCAGGUAAAUUUAACUUGUACCUUUUCCUGUAUUCAAAAGAAAAUAGUGACAAUCAAGUAUAAAUAAUGGAAUCCGUAUGAUUUAGCC